UACGAAGGGUGCAAGCGUUACUCGGAAUUACUGGGCGUAAAGGGUGCGUAGGUGGUCGUUUAAGUCCGUUGUGAAAUCCCUGGGCUCAACCUGGGAAUGGCAGUGGAUACUGGACGGCUAGAAUGCGGUAGAGGGUAGUGGAAUUCCCGGUGUAGCAGUGAAAUGCGUAGAGAUCGGGAGGAACACCAGUGGCGAAGGCGGCUACCUGGACCAGCAGUUGACA
rnacentral:rRNA from 1 species